rfam:Solanum lycopersicum cultivar Heinz 1706 chromosome 4, whole genome shotgun sequence.
AUUUUUGCAGAUGCAGCAUCUUCAAGAUUCACAUAGAUUUAUAUAAAAUAUAGAGUUCCAUGUUUGGGGUGAAAGUAAUUAAUUAAUUAAUUAAUUUUCUCCUAUAUAUUGGCUCUAUUGAUUAUUAUUUGUUGUGAGAAUCUUGAUGAUGCUGCAGCGGCAAUGAA